AUGUCCCAUGAGGAAUUUGAAUACUUUGGGAUUUCUCUAGGGGAUGAAUCUUGGUGACCUAUGGGUAGUAGAAGCUUUUGGCCCUCUGUUUCCUUGCUUGUUGUUAAACUGUUAUUUCCUGACUUUGACCUUUUCCAGCAUGUCUGUAAAGCAGCAACAUUUUGAGAUUGAAGGAGAUUUUGUGCCAUAAAUGUGUGCAGAUGUUCAGUGUCUUGCAGGGCUGCCUCCAGCUUCCCAAGAACAGCACUCAGACAAGUGCUGAGCAUGAGACCUGCCUGCUGCAAGAAGGAUCCUGUGGAGCUCUGAGCCCUCUGAUUACAAACCCAUCCUGUAAGCUGAAGAUGCGCCUCCUGGUUCUUAAAAGGCAGGUGAGGAGCCUUGGCUAGUGAGGAAGCAUGAAUUUGUCAGACUAUUUUAUACUCUCACUUCAGUGGUGCAGUUUAGUCAGGGGUGUGUGUGUGUGUGUGUGCAUUUUGAUUUUUAGCAAUCAUGGCAUUAUGAGGUGCUGUGUACCUCAGGCACACACCGCCGUUCCAGGUUGGUGUUCAAACCAAGAAGGAAAAAAACCCAACAGACUCCAAUUUUUUACUCAUCUGUGAUUGUCUCACACAGAUAUGAGGUCACAGAGAGGAGGCAGCUUGUUGUGUUAAUUAGAUCAGAAGCCUGUGAUUGUUCUGACUAGUUUCUAGCUGCACUACCCCAUCUCAUCCAGGUGUCUGCAGCAGCAGUGGAUGCUGAUGUGUGUGCUUAUUGAAGAAUCAAAUAAAUCAUUCAGCUGCCACACUUGACCUGUUUACUGUGCAGGUGCUGUGGGGGUUUUAUACUCUGUGAUAUAACUCACUUUUUUAAACAGAUGACUUUUGAUACUCACUGUGAGGUUCUAUGUGUCAUAGUGAGGACAAAAACUCCUUUAAUUAAUUGAUUUCCUUUUUGUGCCUGGGAAGUUGCUGAACCUUGGUGGUGACGCUCCUUUUGGCUGGCACAAGUUCAGCACAGGCAGGGCCAUCUCUCCUGUGAACUUGAAUAAACCCCCCUCCAGUCAUGCUAAGGUGCUUCAGAUACAGAAUAUGGAAAACCUCUGAGGUAAUGGAAAGUUACAUCUUGCUAAAAAGUCAUUGUUGGCAUUUGAGGAACCAGUUCAUGUGUCAAGGGUUCUAUCUUGUUAUUGCAGUGGUAAAACACUGCUCCUACCAAGACAAAUCUAUACCUGGAGCCCCACUUUAUUGUAUUCCAGAGAUGUGAAAGACAAGGACUCCAAUCACUACAAAAACUUGUCCAUGUAGAGGGGGUGUUGAUCAGAGGUUUGUGCCUAGCUGAAGGACUACAGAGCCUGAGAAGAAGAGUUGGAAAGAAAACAGCCCCUACCCUAGGACUUCAGAUUCUCAGCUGCUUAGUUUUUCUGGGUAAUCCUUCCCUUCUCUGCUGUCUGUCACUGACAGAACAGGAAAAAGUGGUCCAGAAGAGAUUCCUAGCUUCUUCUACAGGUUUUAGAACACAUCAUUUUUCAUAGGGAAAACUGCAGUAGUAUUUGAAAAAUAUUUGAAAUUUGCAGUAGUAUUUUCUGAUGGGGAGAUCACCUGCAUAUUUCACUUAUUGUGUAGCAGUCAUUCCUGUUUGCCACUGUGCUCUGUUGCAGUUAAACUCAUUGAAAUGUCUAUGGUAUUAGGACAGGCACCAGUUGGAGAAAAGGCUGGGGUCACCUAUUAGUAAAUUAUCACGAGCUGUGUACAGCGACACACAGAUUAUAGGUUGGUUUAGCAUCUUUGCUGUGUUGUGCUUGCUUUACUGUUAUCUUUUGGGUCCCUCUCUGAGAGCUGGAAGUAAUUAGGAAACUGCCCUGGCUCUGCUUCAUUCCUUCAUGCUGGUGGAUAUCUGCGAGGGGAUAAAAUUAGAUCAGCAGGAGAAACUCCUUGCAUUCCUGACUGAGCCUUAGAGAAAAGCUGAGGGAUGGAAGCCUCAACAAAUGUGGAUAUUGGCUGCACUGUAUUUGAAAUUCGUAUUUAAAGCCAUGGCACAUUCUUUACUGUUCUUUUUAUAAACCUUUUGGCAGGCAGCCUAAGCAAAUGGCCCAGCUGGAGUUGCUGACUGUGGCUCCCAGAAGCUCCCAUAUUUGUUGGGAUCCAGCUCCUGCUGCUUGCCUCGCAUUGCUCAGUUGGAGCAGCGCCUCCCCCACGCCGAGUCCUUCCCGACAUUCCAGCAGCCACCUCCAGCAGCGCUCCCGGGGGCCGGAAUCCCGGGCAAUCUGACACUCUCCCUCCACAGGAGGAAUCCUAGACAAGCUGACACUCUCCCUCCGCAGGAGGAAGCCCCAGAGCGUUGUGUGUGAUGGGAUUCUCUGUGACACAACUGACGCGGCAGCCUCUGACACUUUGAAGGAUGGAGCUCAUUUGAUACUGUACAACAGGGUACACUUCUGUAAAGACUUCAGGGCAGAUGAAUUUCUUCCAGAGUGAGGAAAAUGCUACAUGGUUUGCUGAGGCUCAGAAGCCUUGGCUUGCUUGGAUACACGGAGCUCUGUGCCAGGAUUCUGUGUGCCAGGCCCAUCUGGCUCACCUCCAGCCCUCUUACAACACAUCCUCAACACCCAAAUUAUUGCAAUUCUCAUUUGCAUGAGGUGCACACGUUUGUGCUUUGUUUUCCUCUGGGCUUUUCCCAUAUCCUGAGCCAAAAGCAGAUCUUUGUGCUGGCUAAGUUUCCAAGUGCUCCAGUGUAGCAGUAGGCCAUGUUCUUUCUGUCUUUUUACAGGGGUCCAGUUCCCAGCUCUGCUUGCCCACACAUGCUGGCAGCACAACUGAAGCUUUUUUGUGUCUGUUCUACAGAUUAUCUGGUUAUGAGUGUUUGGAAGCCUUUUGCUUUUGGAAGCCUUCUCUUCUUCAAGGCUGCUGCUUCUUCAUGCCAGAAGCAGCAGACCACAGAGUUUUCACCUGGCUUUUAGAAAAAGCGACGUGUGAGGCAGAAGAUCUGGGGAGAACGGAGCUUUAUCCCAAGUCUAUUGACUACAAAGAAAAGACACCCUUUAUUGUCUCAAGACUGCAACAAUGUAAGGAAAUGCACACUUUUAAUUCCAAAUGAUGGCCAGGGUCGUGUGUCUUAUCUGAAAGUGGUCUCUCAAAUUCCUUCUCUGUCAUAUCUAGGCAAGACUUCUUGAAGGAUUCUGCUUGUCACCUGUCUGUAACAGCUGCACAUGUCUGUUCCAGAUAUUUCAGAAGUACAGAAGUUGUUUUUUUUUCUUUCUGAGGACAGCUGUCUGAAGGAUAAAAACAGAAAGGAAGCAACUAAAAGUGGAGAGACUGAAGAUUGGGUCAUUAUAAUGGAACAUUCUUCCCUAUAAUUUUUUGGUUCUUGGGCGAAGUCCUGGCAUUUGCUCUGUAUCCCACAUCCUGUUGGUUAGAAUGGAGCAUCUCAGCUGCAGCCAAUACAAUUUCAAGUGGAAAUAGGUGGGGCUGUAAAUAGCCAAGAAGGAGAGAGGGAAAUUUUUGUAUCUGCUCCCAGACUCAGUGGUUAACUAAGUGCUGGUUAAUAAUUAAUGAAAGCACUCUUCUUGAAAGUCUUGUCGAAGAUGCAAUUCUAGGAGUCCGAUGUAUGGUAUGUCAUAAGAUGCUCCUAAAUAAAACAGGAGCCACAUUUUGUUGCUGUCUCAUCAUUGCUGCUGUGUGGUUGUGAGCCUCCCAAAAGGGUGAAAGUUUGUGAUAGAAGCUAAGGACUGGUUUUGAAAGGUACCUAUCUGUUGUGCUUCUUAGAUGUUCAUUGAAAUUAAGGGAAAAAAAAAAAAAAAAAAGAAGUUGCAGUACAGGAGGAAGACUAAGAGCUGAGGAAAUGUAAGAGAUAUGUAUUUUUGUACACAGCUGGCCUUCCUUCUGUAAGAAAACCUUUCAUGCAUUUGGUGCUGGCUUAUGCUUGGAUUUUCAGACUGAUUGGCUUUUUUAUAGCCUGCUCUCCUGAAAUGUAAAGCACUAAGUUGCUUCUUUCAAGUGAAGAUGUUCCAUGUCAAAACUUAUCUGGAAUUCUAAAUAGGUUUCUUUCCCUAAGGCAAAUUAUCAGUAUUUUUUCCCCUCCAUCUACAGAGACAGAGAAAUAAAACCAGCAGCUCUCCCCACAGAUGAAGAGGGAAAAAACAAGCGAUUUAAAGAAUUACUAAGUACCAUAAUUUGGUUGCAGGCAUUGAAAUUCUUUAUGAUAGGAUUCUAGAUUUAGAGAAUUAAGUAGGGUUUUCUUGUUCUUUUAUAUUUUAAAUCUGUAACUUCAAAAAUAUUCCCGGAAUAGGAAAAAUUAAUUCCCUUUUGAGAUGGGGAAUCAGAAUCUGCUGGGAAGAAAAGGGCAAAAAUUGAGAAAUAAAUCAAUUGAGCACCUUUAAGAGGAAUCAUUUAAGUUAUCUAUCUUUAGAAAGAAAAAGAGUGGAGAAAUUGGGAGAAUGACAUCAUCUAUGUUCUGCACUGGUAUUCUGCUCAGUUUGUGUGAGAUAUUGCUUAAACCCUCUUUGCCUCUGGAUUCCCUGAAAUAUUAAGAACUGCCUUCUGAUCACGGCAAAAAAGCUUUAUGAGCCACAGAACACUUGGGGUGAUAAAAAAACUUCCACUGAGACAAAAACCUGAAGCCUGUACAAGAAUUCCUAGAACUCAUGAGGUACAAAACCACUCAACAAUGCAGCCUUGGCUGAAAAAGAGCUGAAGAACUCUUGGUUCUUUGGGUGCUUGACUGGAGUUUGUCCCUUGGUGUUUCUGCUCACCUCUUCCCUGUGCUGCACUCCCUCUGAUCACCUGCAGUGGUUUGAACUACUGCUGCAGAGGAUUAUCCUUCAUUUAAGAAGGUGAUGAAACUCAUCAUUUCCAUCUCUUUUAUUGUUCAUCAUCUCCUCAAAACCGCAGACAUUCACUUAUUAAACAUGGGGAGGGCACCAUCAUCUCUCAGCAUCUUUCAACCCAGUCAGGAAGGGAUUUGGAAGCCUGAGCUUUGGACCACACCUAGCCAGGGGAAGGAGCUGUCACCACUCAGCACAGACCUGUUUAUAAAUAUCUGCUCUCCAGAAGACAGCUGACACUUGUAAUGGGGCUAAUUCUUCUAACAGCACUGGCAUAACACCAUCAGGGCUGUCUGGCACUGCACAGGGUGUUUCUUCCAUGAAACAAAACUAAUCCUGAGCAAGACAGUUUUAGUGUGACUUAUGUUCCUUGAAGCGCUAUUACAGCAAGUAAAACAAGCAGCAUCAUUUCUCAGUGGUUUAAAAUAAGCUACACUGAAAUCAAUAUGGAUUUAUUCCUUGUCUCUUUCCAAGGCACCAGGAGGAGCUUUCCGCUGCUCUUGCAGACAAAAAUGGAUCUUCAUUUAGUGCAUAUUCUAUAUUGCACUUGCUGUAAAACAGAAUUGUGCAUUUGAUGGACUGCCUUGAACCUCAGUCCUGCCCCUGAGCAAUUGCAGCUGACUCAGUGGUGAUGACUGAUACCCUUCAUGGAUGUAGAGCUAACUCUGAUGCUAGGCUUAACACAUCCUAUUUUCCAUCAAAUGAUGGUUUCACUUCCUUUUUCUUAUGAAAGUGUGAUUUCUAUUCAUUUUUUUUUCCAUUCACGAUCUGAGUAAUGCUUGACACUUUUGUUUAAUGUAUAUGAAGUCCUGUCUUGCUGUGUGAGAUGUCCAAAGGCUGCAUAUGGUGACUUGGAUUUUUCAGGACGUUAUGGUUUGCAGUUUAAAAAUCAGAAGUCAAAUUUGGUUGUAGUGGGAGUUUGUUUAUCUGAAGCUGUACGAGAAGAUUAUGACCUUACUUGUAUUUUUCCAUACCAGAAGCAGACACUUUUCAAAGCACUUCAGCUGGGGAGGAAGAGUACAAGUUGUUUAUUUUCAGUGGCAUCUCCAUGGUUCCAAACCCCUUAUCGAGACUCUUAAUGAGCUAUGACUGGAUAAUUAAAAAGCAGGGUUUAGGUCAGCUGCUUCUGGUUUCAGCGUGGGAUAAAUGCAUGUUUUGGAGCAAUUUAAUGUGGCAGGGCUUUUAGGACAGCAGUUUCUUUGAGCAGAGACUCUGGGGCAACUUUGGGCCAGAAAUUGGAGCUUCAUUAAGAAAUGGCACUGGAACAAAACAUAAUAUUUUGAGCAUCAAAGUGUCACCAUAUUCUGUGUUGUGCUGAAGGCUGUAGCUACUCUUUCAGAGCCUUAUUCCCAAGAAACAGCUCAGCCAGCCCAAGAGCGUCACACUUAUCCUUUUUAGAGAAAAUUCCCUGGCUGAAUGGCAGGUCUUCAGCUGGCUGACAUAAAUAAGAACAAUUGUAACAGAGCAGGGACUCAUUUUGUACUACUUAUUAUUAUUAUUGCAAUAGUCUGAUAUGCAGCUACUUGCUAAGAGAAAUGUUAAAACUAUUAAAUGUUAAAACUGUUAAACUAUUUCUGGUUGUCUGUACCAAAUAAUUGCCUGUAGCCAGUGCCAGAGAGUAUCAGAAGUGAAUCUGGAUUCACUCAAGGUGCUUGUCAAAUCCAGAUUUCAGGCUCCUGGGGGAGUUGCUUGCUGCAGAAUGAGAUGCAGAUGCUACCACUGGCUUACAGACAGUUCAUUACUGUUAAACCUUGCACUAGAGGUGGUGGAAUUGGCUGUGUUUUGCUAAAACCAGAGGGUUAUUUUGAAAAGGGAAGAGGAACUGAGGGCAGGUUUUACAGCUACUGUAUAGCUGAUUUCAUACUUUUUCACUUUGUCAAGUAUUUCACUGCAUUUUUAUCUAACUGUAGGUGAGUAGGUGAUGAGUAACAGCUGCUGAUAGCUGUGGGCUUAAGGUUUGAGAAGUGUGACAUCCAAAUUCAGAGCAAACUCUGCUAUGUAUCAGGUAUUUAAUUAUCGUUUUUAAGCUUCUAAAAUCUAGACCUUUUAGGUUCAGAUUUGUCUCUCUUUCAGACAGUAGCUUAUCAAACCCUGAAGAAAAUUACCUGGUGUGCAGAGCAAGGCAGGACAGACGUGUGCAGGAGGGUGUGCAGUGGUGCCUGUAGCAGCUGUUCUUGUCAGAGAGUGUUCAAAACAGACCAGCCUGUAUCGCACACCGUUUUGCAAAUGUGAAGACAAAUUUUGACUGAAUGAAAGCAUUUAGAAGGAAGCAUGGGAUUAGUGCUCGCUACUGUUCUGGAAGCAAGUAGCUGUCUUAACUGGAGAACAGCUUGAGGAUCAAAUCUAGCACGGAGACCUGAGAGCUCCUCUGCCUAUCUCUACUGGCACCCAGGUGCAGCAGGCAGAGGAAAGGGAGCAAGAGGUCUCAUCUCUGCUCAGAAAACUGAUCCAGGCUGGUACACAGCCCAUCUGCCCUAAUGAUUUUCUGUCAGGGUUGGUGGCGGCUCUCGGCACUAGGAUUUGAAUGUGCCCAGCAGGAGAGUCCACUUGCCUCCUGUGAAACAAACGGCAUGGUAUGCUUGAGUCAAAAGCCUUGUGGGAUGGAGCAUGGAUCUGCUGAGCUUCUGAUCUUAGCUUCCAUUUCAAUUAAUAUUGUGAAAUAAUACUAAUCCAUGCAGGUGUUAUUGAUAGAUUGUAUUUCCCUGUGCUUUCAGAAGUAGAGAAGGACAUCAGAAGUGACUGGAGAACAAAACCACACUGAAAUCAGUCAUCUGGAGAUGGUUUAAGACCUGUUUGAAGCUCAGCUGCACACACUAGGGACAGGAGCUGGUAAAGCCUAUAGCCCUUCAAUUUUCUUUGAGCAGUUUGCCUUCAACCUGACCUCUGUGACAGAUGGAAUACAGAAUUGAUCGGUUCUGAGCUGAUGAUUCUCCUAGCUGGUACCAAGCAAAAUCUCAGUAAAAAGAACUGAAAGAAUCACACAGGAGUUAUUCAAAAAUUAAAUUCACUUUUCUUUUACUUUUGAAUUAAUAAUAUUUUUAUUCUUUUGCAAGAGGUAUUUAUAACACCCUGCCAAAGCAGUGCAAAGCCACAGUGUGUUGAGCCUACCUAGGGCUGUGAUUUAAGAGUACAAAUUCAGUGCAGAGGUAGCUGGGGCUGUAAUUACUCCUGCCCAGCCUCACCUCUUGGGCUGAGCUACAGGCACCUGUGUCUUUCAGCUGCUCCUCACAUAUCCCAGGAGCCUGGCACAGGGCAGUCCAGCUUCUUCACAGCCAGGAAGCUGCUUUAGAGCCCAGGCUGGAAGAGAAAGGCAGCCAGCAGAAGGCAGUUUAAAGAUAACUCUAUCUCAUCAAUGCUGAUUGAUUGAUGCACUCAUGCAAGUUAGGUCCUGCCAGGCUGCUCCCUACUCUUUAUGUGAGGAACAUACUCACAGCUACUCAAAUUUUACUGCUGCCACGAAAAGAAAAGCCUUUCAUAACAAUUUUAUUGUUACUAGGUACGUUAGUAGUUGUGAGGUCUAUUUUUCAAUCUCAAAGCAAGAGUCAAAAAUACUAUAGAACGUGUUUCAGAAGACAUUCAAGCACUCUUCAUGCUACUUUCUUAGCCUAGCUGAAAAAAAAAAUCUGUUGGUCCCCAUGGCAGUAUCUCAUGGA